AUUGAACGCUGGCGGCAUGCCUUACACAUGCAAGUCGAACGGCAGCACGGGAGCAAUCCUGGUGGCGAGUGGCGAACGGGUGAGUAAUAUAUCGGAACGUGCCCAGUCGUGGGGAUAACGUAGCGAAAGCUACGCUAAUACCGCAUACGAUCUAUGGAUGAAAGCGGGGGAUCGCAAGACCUCGCGCGAUUGGAGCGGCCGAUAUCAGAUUAGGUAGUUGGUGAGGUAAAGGCUCACCAAGCCGACGAUCUGUAGCUGGUCUGAGAGGACGACCA
rnacentral:rRNA from 1 species